CAGGUAUAUCAGCAGGAUGAUAACUAUAAAAACUGUAUCUACAUCUGUACGUGAGGUCCUGUGAUCGUCAUGAGGGCUCUGCCCCAAGAGCAAAAUAUCAAGUUCUUUUUUUCCCAGCAGUUACAGGCAGGACAAAGGUUGGACCAGCAUCAGAGAUAAAAUAAAGAGAGGCAAAAAGAGUUACUUGAAUUUGGCAUUCUGCAGUAAGCGAUACACAAGAAGAGUGAAAUGGAGGCCGAAGAUGGCAUGUUUUAGAGACUUGAAGAAUAUGGUAUCUGACUUGAACUUGUCUAAAGGCUGAGUUUGACAACAGUUUUACUCCUUGCAUGAUGUACAUGCUCACAGAUAUGGUGGAUCUGAUCAUGCUGUGGGGCAGGAGGAAGAGAAGCCCCUGGAGUCCCUGCAGUUAGUUUUUCUGUGAUUCUGUGAUUACCAGCACCUAGGGGACUGCAGUUCUCAUCUGCUUCUCGGUGUGCUGGUAUUUCUGAAGAGAGGUGUGUGAUUGUCAGCAGUACGUGUCUGGAUCAGGACUCACCUUGUUACACUACAGCUGGGCUUCAACAUUUCUAUGACUGUCAAAAAUGUCGGCUGUGCAGAGCCAGCAUUCUCCAGCAAUGCUUCCACCCCAGCCAACUGCACCUUGCUGCUGGAAUCCCCAAGUGCACAAUACCAUGGGAACAUGAGAGGCAGAGCAAAGUUCUGCUUAAGACUGAAGAUCUGUCUCUCCCUCUGACAGAUUUCUUGACAAUGAACUACAUUUUCUAAUCCUUUCAUCUGCUCCACAUCUUGUAGUGGAGGUUAUGAUUUGGCUCCAGGUACUUGCAUUGACAAGCUGUGUUUGGGCUCUGACUUGCUGCGCAGACACUAUGUAUAAUAUAGAGAAAGAUGGAGGGUUUUCUCUAGCUCUCACAAAGCUGAAAUUGCAUCCAUAAUUUUAGUAGGAAAUGUUAAACUUUCCAAAGGAUGUUUGUUGAAGAAAAAUAAAU
ensembl:lncRNA